rnacentral:lncRNA from 1 species
AUGGGGUUUCACCAUACUGGUCAGGCUGGUCUGGAACUCUUGACCUUAGGUUAUCCACCCAUCUUGGCCUUCCAAAGUGCUGGGAUUACAGGUGUGAGCCACUGUGUCCGGCCCAAGUGCAGUGCUUUUUUCUCCACUCUCUUCCCCUCCCCUCUCUUCUCCAAGGUGGCAUCUGUAUCCUGGGGUGAAGGAAGAAGAGAGACUCUUGGAUGGGCAUUUGAGGUGGCAGCUUCCAAGAGUCCCUCAAGGCCUGAGUGACAACUGAGUCCCCCUCGGCCCAUCCCUGGAACCAUGAUGAUGGCAGCACUUACGUUACAUUCACUGCUUACUGUAGCUACGCCACACUGACAAGCACCCUACAUACUUCACGGGAUCUCCUGAUGUUCCUGUGAGACAGGUAUUGUUACCAUCUCCAUUACAAAGGGAAAACUGAGCACAGGGAGGGAGUGGGCUGGGGUUUGUGGUCUGGCUCCAGAGUCAGGACUCUUCACC